GACCCUUCCACUUCAUCGUCAUCGUUUCAACUCUUCUGAGAAUUACCGUUACUCAAAACCCUCUUUAAAUAUGUACAAUCUCAUAUAUUGCCAGUAAUAUCUUUCUCUGCCGUUUAGUUCAUCGUCAAUGAUCUUUUCGUUUGAAGACUCCGGCCCAUUCGCAUCCCUCCCACUGCUUUCUUCUAUUACGUAUACCCAGUUAACGUCAUAAUGGAAUAUGUUCUGAUUUUAGGCAAAAUGUCUGUUAUCUUCAGAUUUCUCUUCUGCUUUGUCUUUCCCUCCCUGUUAUACAAGAAAGCAUAUCAAAACACAUACCAUGAGAAGUCAUAUUAUGAACUUUGGCAACAACAUUCUGGUGAUGUGUGAUGCUUACAUGCCGGCUGGGAAUCCAAUUCCGACCAACAAGAGGCACAACGCUGCUAAGAUCUUCAGCAGCUCCAAAGUUGCCUCUGAGGAGCCUUGGUAUGGGAUUGAGCAAGAAUACACAUUGAUGCAAAAGGGUGUGAACUGGAAAUUAAUCAUCGAUUCUUCCAUUAGAUAAUGCUGAAGAUCUUACCAUGCCGACAAUGUACUGGCCAGUUUAAAUAAAGCUUUGAAGAGUUUCAGAUCCAAACUGCAGCUCAGAGUUUUAAGCGUAACAAGCUGGUUAGCAGAACAAUUCAGACAAAGAACUCAGGUGUCUGGAGAUGACACAAAGGUCUUGAUGGAAUUGAAGUAUGGUAAAGUGGAAGCAAACUUGAAUCCCUAAAGGGUGCUAAGGAGGCUGAAACAGAUGUUUGAGACUCGAAA